rnacentral:rRNA from 1 species
AAAGCGUGCGCAGGCGGUUGUACAACACCGAUGUGAAAUCCCCGUGCUUCAACCGAGGAAUUGCAUUGGUGACUGCACGGGAGAGUGUGUCAGAGGGAGGUAGAAUUCCACGUGUAGCAGAUAAAUGGGUAGAGAUGUGGAGGAAUACCGAUGGCGAAGGCAUCCUCCUGGGAUAACACUGACGCUCAUGCAGGAAAGCGGGGGGAGCAAACAGGAUUUGCUACCCUUGUACUCCACGCCCUAAAUGAUGUCAACUAGUUGUUUGGGAUUCAUUUCAGUAUUAACGUAAAUAACGCGUGAAGUUGACCGCGGGGGGAGGACGGUAGCAAGAUUAAAACUCAAAGGAAUCGACGGGGACCCGCACCAGCGGUGGAUGAUGUGGAUUACUUGGAUACCACGAGAAAAACCUUACCUACCCUUGACAUGCCACUAACGAAGCAGAGAUGCCUUAGGUGCUCGAAAGAGAAAGUGGACACAGUUGCUGCAUGGCGGUCGUCAGCUCGUGUAGUGAGAUGUUGGGUUAAGUCCCGCAACGAGCGCAACCCCAGUCCCUAGUUGUUACGAAAGGGCACUCUAGAGAGACGGCCGGUGACAAACCGGAGGAAGGUGGGGAUGACGUCAAGUCCUCAUGGCCCUUAUGGGUAGGGCUUCACACGUCAUACAAUGGUGCAUACAGAGGGUUGCCAAGCCGCGAGGGGGAGUUAAUCCCAGAAAGUCCAUCGUAGUCCGGAUGGUAGUAUGCAACUCGACUACGUGAAGUGGGAAUCGUUAGUAAUCGUGGAUCAGCAUGCCGCGGUGAAUACGUUCCCGGGUCUUGUACACACCGCCCGUCACACCAUGGGAGUGGGCUUCACCAGAAGUAGUUAGCAUAACCGCAAGGAGGGCGAUUACCACG